CAACCCUUACGCCCUGUAGCGUAGUGUUGGGAAUCUACCGACAGGUAGUUCCUCAAAUCGAUUGGCGGCGUUAGUGCAUACUCUAAGCGUAGUAAUACCAUUCUCGCUUCGGCAGUAGUGCUGACGGCUGGCCACUAAACCCCCUAUACUUCUAGU
rnacentral:misc_RNA from 1 species